rnacentral:rRNA from 1 species
AGAGUUUGAUCAUGGCUCAGGAUGAACGCUAGCGGCAGGCCUAACACAUGCAAGUCGAGGGGUAACAUUUUGUGCUUGCACAAAGAUGACGACCGGCGCACGGGUGCGCACCGCGUAUGAAACCUACCUUUUACAGGGGAAUAGCCUUUGGAAACGAAGAUUAAUGCCCCAUAGUACCUUUUGUAGCAUUACGAGAUGGUUAAAGACUUCGGUCGGUAGAAGAUGGUCAUGCGUCCCAUCAGUUAGUUGGUAAGGUAACGGCUUACCAAGACAGCGAUGGGUAGGGGCCCUGAGGGGGGGAUCCCCCACACUGGUACUGAGACACGGACCAGACUCCUACGGGAGGCAGCAGUGAGGAAUAUUGGACAAUGGAGGAGACUCUGAUCCAGCCAUGCCGCGUGCAGGAAGAAUGCCCUAUGGGUAGUAAACUGCUUUUAUACGGGAAGAAAAAAGGGUACGUGUACCCUACUGACGGUACCGUAAGAAUAAGGACCGGCUAACUCCGUGCCAGCAGCCGCGGUAAUACGGAGGGUCCGAGCGUUAUCCGGAAUUAUUGGGUUUAAAGGGUCCGUAGGCGGGUCGAUAAGUCAGAGGUGAAAGUUUGCAGCUCAACUGUAAAAUUGCCUUUGAUACUGUCGGUCUUGAGUUAUAGUGAAGUUGCCGGAAUAUGUAGUGUAGCGGUGAAAUGCAUAGAUAUUACAUAGAACACCGAUUGCGAAGGCAGGUGACUAACUAUAUACUGACGCUGAUGGACGAAAGCGUGGGGAGCGAACAGGAUUAGAUACCCUGGUAGUCCACGCCGUAAACGAUGGAUACUAGCUGUCCGGGUCCUUGAGACCUGGGCGGCCAAGCGAAAGUGAUAAGUAUCCCACCUGGGGAGUACGUUCGCAAGAAUGAAACUCAAAGGAAUUGACGGG